UGGCCCACCAAACCUGUAACCGGUACGGGCUCUGAGAGGAGGAGCCCGGAGAUGGGCACUGAGACAAGGGCCCAGGCCCUAUGGGGCGCAGCAGGCGCGAAACCUCUGCAAUAGGCGAAAGCUUGACAGGGUUACUUUGAGUGAUUUCCGUUAAGGAGAUCUUUUGGCACCUCUAAAAAUGGUGCAGAAUAAGGGGUGGGCAAGUCUGGUGUCAGCCGCCGCGGUAAUACCAGCACCCCGAGUGGUCGGGACGUUUAUUGGGCCUAAAGCAUCCGUAGCCGGUUCUACAAGUCUUCCGUUAAAUCCACCUGCUCAACAGAUGGGCUGCGGAAGAUACUAUGGAGCUAGGAGGCGGGAGAGGCAAGCGGUACUCGAUGGGUAGGGGUAAAAUCCGUUGAUCCAUUGAAGACCACCAGUGGCGAAGGCGGCUUGCCAGAACGCGCUCGACGGUGAGGGAUGAAAGCUGGGGGAGCAAACCGGAUUAGAUACCCGGGUAGUCCCAGCUGUAAACGAUGCAGACUCGGUGAUGAGUUGGCUUUAUCCAACUCAGUGCUGCAGGGAAGCCGUUAAGUUUGCCGCCUGGGGAGUACGGUCGCAAGACUGAAACUUAAAGGAAUUGGCGGGGGAGCACCACAAGGGGUGAAGCCUGCGGUUC
rnacentral:rRNA from 1 species